GAUGAACGCUGGCGGCGUGCCUAAUACAUGCAAGUCGAGCGAACAGAUAAGGAGCUUGCUCCUUUGACGUUAGCGGCGGACGGGUGAGUAACACGUGGAUAACCUACCUAUAAGACUGGGAUAACUUCGGGAAACCGGAGCUAAUACCGGAUAACAUAUUGAACCGCAUGGUUCAAUAGUGAAAGGCGGCUUUGCUGUCACUUAUAGAUGGAUCCGCGCCGUAUUAGCUAGUUGGUAAGGUAACGGCUUACCAAGGCAACGAUACGUAGCCGACCUGAGAGGGUGAUCGGCCACACUGGAACUGAGACACGGUCCAGACUCCUACGGGAGGCAGCAGUAGGGAAUCUUCCGCAAUGGGCGAAAGCCUGACGGAGCAACGCCGCGUGAGUGAUGAAGGUCUUCGGAUCGUAAAACUCUGUUAUCAGGGAAGAGCAAAUGUGUAAGUAACUGUGCACAUCUUGACGGUACCUGAUCAGAAAGCCACGGCUAACUACGUG
rnacentral:rRNA from 1 species